AUACCAUGAUGAGGACAAGCUCUUGCGUAUCCUUUCAUACGUUCCCAUGCAACAUACAAACUCUCUUCUUCACCUUACUCAAAUCAAGCUUAUCGUUUCUUAUCUU
rfam:Arabis alpina cultivar Pajares chromosome 2, whole genome shotgun sequence.